rnacentral:rRNA from 1 species
GUGCCUGCGGAAGGAUCAUUACCGAGUGAGGGCCCUCUGGGUCCAACCUCCCACCCGUGUCUAUCGUACCUUGUUGCUUCGGCGGGCCCGCCGUUUCGACGGCCGCCGGGGAGGCCUUGCGCCCCCGGGCCCGCGCCCGCCGAAGACCCCAACAUGAACGCUGUUCUGAAAGUAUGCAGUCUGAGUUGAUUAUCGUAAUCAGUUAAAACUUUCAACAACGGAUCUCUUGGUUCCGGCAUCGAUGAAGAACGCAGCGAAAUGCGAUAAGUAAUGUGAAUUGCAGAAUUCAGUGAAUCAUCGAGUCUUUGAACGCACAUUGCGCCCCCUGGUAUUCCGGGGGGCAUGCCUGUCCGAGCGUCAUUGCUGCCCUCAAGCACGGCUUGUGUGUUGGGCCCCCGUCCCCCUCUCCCGGGGGACGGGCCCGAAAGGCAGCGGCGGCACCGCGUCCGGUCCUCGAGCGUAUGGGGCUUUGUCACCUGCUCUGUAGGCCCGGCCGGCGCCAGCCGACACCCAACUUUAUUUUCUAAGGUGACCUCGGAUCAGUAGACCAUC